AUUUUGAAACUAAAUUUCAACUCUGUUGACUUUGUGGUUAGAAUUUUUUUUUUUUCUGGUUGCCCCCACGGCAUGUGGAAGUUCCCAGACCAGGGAUUGAACCCAUGCCACAGCUGCGGCAACACCUGAUCCUUAACCUGCUGCACCACAGGGGAACUUCCAGAAUAUUUUUUUCUUCUGCUUAACUGAAAUUAUCAGUUGUGUGUAGAUUACUAAACAUAAAAACUCUUCAGACCUACCACUAACAACUUGCUUUGUUUUAUUUUUAAUUUUGGGGGGGCUGCCCUGGACAUAUGGAGUUCCUGGGCCACAGAUCAGAUCCCAGUCACAGUUGCAACCUAUGCUGUAGCUGCAGCAAUGCCAGAUCCUUAACUCACUGUUUCAGGCCAGGGAUUGAACCUGUAACCCAGCAUUCUGGAGAUGCCACCCAUCCCGUUGUGCCACAGCAGGAACUCCUGGUUUUAUUUUAUUUUUAAAAUUUUUAAUUAUUUUCUUUUUUUCUAUCUCCUUUUUUUCAUCUUUUUAGGGCUGCACCCACAGCAUACAGAAGUUCCCAGGCUAGGGGUCAAAUUGGAGCUGUAGCUGCCGGCCUACACCACAGACACAGCAACACCAGAUCCAAGCUGUGCCUGUGACCUCUGCUGCAGCUCACGGUGGAUCCUUAACCCACUGAGCGAGGCCAGUAUAGAACCCACAUUCUCAUGGAUGAUAAUUGGGUUCAUUACCACUGAGCCACAGUGGGAACUCCUAUUUUUUUCUUUUUUGGCCACCCCAUGGCAUAUGGAUAUUUCUGGGCCGGGGAUCAAAUCUGAGUCAGAGCUGCGACCUCUGCCACAGCUGCAGCAGUGCCAGAUCCUUAACCCACUGAGCUGGGCAGGGGAUCGAACCUGUGUCCCUGCUGCUGCAUAGACACUAUCGAUUCUGUUGUGCCACAGUGGGAACUCCCUUGCUUUGGUUUAGAGGAAUGUCAUAUUUUAUGAUGAUAAAUUGUUUUUAGAGCACGUGUCAGUACAAGGGGCAGUCAGGCGUUACCCCGUGGAGGCAGUUUGUAGUCCCACUUAGUACAGAAGCUCCUUGACACCAGCAUGGGUAACCUCUGCAUCCUGGGUGCCUGGAGCAUUCAGGCACAACUUACAGAGUAGAGCCGUGUUGGUGGGCACAGGCGUGGAAGCAUCUUUAUUUUAACUGUGGUUAAUGAUAGAGUCUAACUAUGAUUAGAUUUUUAAAGAAUUCUAUGAUUAGAAUUUUGUUUAGUAGGGUUUUUUCCUAUCUAUUUGAGUUUUCAUAGUUCAGUAUAGCAAAGCAUGGUGUUCAGAUUUUUAAAAAAAAUUUUUUUUGGUUGUGUACACUACAUGUGGAAAUUCCCGGGCCAAGGAUCUAUGUGUGCCACAGCAGCUGCUCAAGCCACUGCAGUGACAAUGCCGGAUACUUAACCCUCUCUGAGCCACGAGGGAACCCCAGAUAUUGUUAACCAAUCAGUUGUUUUGUAACUUUUUUUUGGCACCCCCCUUGCAGCAUGUGGAAGUUCCUGAGCCAGGGGUUAAACCUGUGCCACAGCAGUUGCCUGAGCCACAGCAGGGACAACACAGGAUCCUUAAUCACUAGGUAACCAGGGAACUCCUAGUAACUUUUUGGUUUUUAUUAUUAUUAUUAUUAUUAUGGUUGGUUGUUCUUUUUAGCCACAGCAUGCAACAGCUCAAUGUGGGACCUCAGUUCCCAGACCAGGGAUUGAUCCUGGGCCACAGAGAUGAAAGCACCGAAUCCUAACCACUGAACUACCCGGGAACUCUCAGUAGCCACAUCUUGACUAGGAAAAAUAUGGUUGAAUUAUGGCCUCCUUAAAGUUUUUUCAUUGACUUUUUUUUACUGUUAAGACUUUAAUGUUUCGGAAAUUGUUGCAUGAGUCUUUAAAUUUAACAUGGAUUAAUAUUAUAUUAACUCCCUGGAAACUUUCUAUAUAUACCAGUGUCCAGAUUUCCACGUAUUUUUCUUUAGGGACAUCCUCUCGGGCACACAAAUAGUCUAGGCUUGGUGGACCCAGAGGUGCUGCUUCCUUUCCUCUGGCUGUGGCUCUCCCUUUCUCCCUUUCCAUUUGGAUGUUUUAAUGGCACCCUCCCUGCUCAGUGAUUUGUGUUCAGGAAGCUAGGCAGUGAUUACUUUUGUUUCUGCUCUGUGAACUUCCCCUCCACUUCCUUUUUUUUUUUAACGGAGCAACUACAGGAAGUAAGGCAGCUCUUGGCUGGCUGCUGCUAAGCCCUGAUUUUAGGUGGCAGAGGAGAAGGCUUUAGGGCCCAGCCAUUUAAAGCAUUUUCCACCUUUGUCUUUGCACUACCCCCUUCCUGCAGAAAUCGUAGGAACACACUUUUGUGAUCUAGUGUGAUUGGGGUGAGAUGACAGCAGGUCCUCCUGGGCCCGGGAAUGGCAGAAGUUGGGUGCUGCCCAGCUGGAGGGCAGAGCUUUGGUGAAGUAGGUGAGGGGUUUUUCCAGUGGCACCAGUAGGAUGUAGUGACCCUGUGGCGAAGCUGCUCUUCUGGGUGGACAGUGUGGCAGGAGCAGAGGGUGGGUUGAAGGGACCUCUAGGGAGGUGGAGUCUGGAUUUGCGUGGGGGCUUUGAUGGGCAGGCCUGGAGGGAAGUGAGGAGUCCUGUCUACUCUCUGAGAUCUUGGACGAGGCCUCAGCCUCUGUGCUUCUCUCCUUCCAGCUCAUGGCAUUUGUUUUCUAAGUCAGGUAUUUAGCAUUUACCUGCCUCUUGUCCAGUGAUACCUCCAGUGGACCUGUUGUAGCUUAACUUAUAGGAGAAGUUUGUAUCAUCUUCCCAGAAAGAAGUACCUUUUUAUACAUUAGGUACUGGAACAUGGAAGGAAUUUGUUUAGCUGCGAGUUGCUCAAUAGUGGUGCUGUCGACCUUUGGGGUGGAUAAUUCUUUGACUUCAGGUGGACAGAGGGCUGGUCCUGUGCGUCGCAGGAUAUUUAGCAGUAUUUUUGGCCUUAUCCACUGACACACUCCAAGUUGUGACAUACAGAAAAUGCUUCCAGUCAUUGCUAAAUGUCUCCUGGGUGGUGGGGGCGUGUGUGUGUGUGUGUGUGUGUGUGUGUGUGUGUGUGUAGCUCAUCUUUUCCACUUUUUGAGAACCACUGUGUUAAAAGAUUGAAUGCUAACUUACUAAUAUUGUGAAAUGGAAUAAAAUAGAAUGUUUGGUUCCUUGGAGAUUGGAGCUUUUUGUUAGUUUCUCUUCCAGCAUCUGACAUUCUUACAUAUUUUUAGUUUGUUACUUAGAGUUUGCUGUUGUCUCUCUGUUGUGCUUUGAUUGAAAGAGCUGGAGCCUGAGCAUCUGGAGGCUUGAUUUCUGGUCCUCAUAGAAAGUGUUCUCUUUCAGCCUUCAAUGCUUGUUCCUGAAAGCUGGUUCCUUGGAAGCUGAACGGUGCUGGUGUAAAGGAGAGAGUGAGAGGCAUUUAGGAUGUAGCAGUAACAACAGCUAACGCUCAUGGAGCAGUCGUGGUAGACCAGGUGAACAGGAUGGAAAUUUGAACUGUGGUGAGCAGGACUGGCAGGAUUGAAUGUAAGGGACUGCAGGGAAAGGGAACAGGACAGGGACCAUCUGGGCCAACACCUUAGGUUUAGGUGCACAGUUCAUAGUGCUUUUAACUGACGCAGUAAAUAUAGCAGGAUGAGCAGAGAAUGGAAGGAUGACUAGGUAAAAUUUAAAGGACCUGAGGAGAUAUGAGUCUAGUCCCAGGAGAGAGGGGUCUUCCCUGGAGAGCUGAAUUUGGGUCAUCAGCAGGGACAUGGCUGUCUUUGCCUACAGAGAGAUUCCUUUCUUUUCAUUGCUCUACCUCAACUUCCUGCCAAUUCGAAGAGGACUGCGGCUUGAAACCAUCUCCUAAGGGUGAUAAACAGAAUGUCCUGGUCUAGGUAGUUGACAGAGAUGGUGUAACACAGUGAUGGAUAGCUCUGCUCCUGGGGGCCAACUCCCAGGCCCCAAGCUCUGUUGGUGACUACUACCUCAGCCAUGUGCCCGGAACUUGAAGAACUCACUCAGCCUCCUUACACGCCUCACCUACCUCAGAGAGCCCUUGGAAGCAUUAAAUUAGGUAACAAACAAAUACAAAAUGUAUAGCUCAGUGCCUGGCACUUAGUACCCCUUCAGUUAACAUUAGCUGUUUUUCUUUUACAGUUCUAGUGAGCAUUAAAUGGGAUUAUGUUUCUAAAGGUAUAAUGCUUGACACAUUGCAGUCACUGAAUGUUCAGUUUUGUUGAGGAGGACUUUCGAACAUGGUAUGUUGUCAGCUUUUUAUUAUUAUUUUGUCUCUCUCUUUUUUUUUUUUUAGGGCCACACCCUUGGCAUAUAGAGGUUCCCAGGCUAGGGGUCUAAUCAGAGCUGUUGCUGCCAGCCUACGCCACAGCCACCGCAACGCCAGAUCCGAGCCACAUCUGCGACCUACACCACAGGUCACGGCAACACUGGAUCCUUAACCCACUGAGCAAGGCCAGGGAUCAAACCCACAACCUCCUGGUUCCUAGUCGGAUUCGUUUCCGCUGCGCCACGAUGGGAACUUCUAUGAGUCUUUCUAUUCUGCAAAUAAGUUCAUUUGUAUCCUUUUUUUAUUUUUAUUUUUAUUACUCAAAGGAAUUUAUCCCAUCUGUAGUUGUAUAAUGAUCAUAACAAUCCAAUUUCACAGGAUUUCCAUCCCACAGCCCAGGCACAUCCCCCCACCCCCCAAACUGUCUCCUCUGGAGACCAUUAAGUUUUUCAGUGUCUGUGAGUCAGCAUCUGUUCUGUCCUUUUUUCAGAUUCCACAUGUCAGUGAAAGCAUUUGAUGUUGAUGUCUUAUUGUAUGGCCGACUUCACUUAGCAUGAUAAUUUCUAGGUCCAUCCAUGUUGCAAAAAUUGCUGGUAUUUCACUCUUUUUAAUGGCUCCGUAAUAUUCCAUUGUGUAUAUGUACCACAUCUCUGGAUCCACUCCUCUGUCAAUGGGCAUUUAGGUUGUUUCCAUGUCUUGGCCAUUGUAAAUAGUGCUGCAAUGAACAUUGGAGUACAUGUGUCUUUGCGAAAAAAUAUGGAAUGCUUCACGAAUUUGCAUGUCAUCCUUGUGCAGGGACCAUGCUAAUCUUCUCUGUAUCGUUCCAAUUUUAGUAUAUGUGCUGCCGAAGCGAGCACUGUAUCCUUUUUUUAGAUUCCACAUGUAAGCGAUAUUAUAUGAUGUUUGUCUUUCUCUGACUUACUUCACUUAGUAUGAUAAUCUCUGGGUCCGUGUUGCUGCACAUGGAAUUAUUUCAUUCUUUUUUAUGGCUAAGUAAUACUCCAUUGCAUAUAUGUACCAUAUCUUUAUCCAUUCCUCUGUUGAUGGACAUUUAGGUUGCUUCCAUGUCUUUGCUAUUGUGAAUAAGGCUGCAGUGAACAUUGGGAUGCAUAUAUCUUUUUUAAUCGUGGUUUUCUCUGGAUAGACACCCAGGAGUGCAAUUGCUGGAUCGUAUAGUAGUUCUAUUAUUCGUUUUCUGAGGAACUUCCAUACUGUUUUCCAUAGUGGUUAUACCAAUUUACCUUCCCACCAACAGUAUAAGAGGGUUCCCUUUUCUCUGCACCCUCUCCAGCAUUUAUUUAUGUAUAGACUUUUUUUCUUUUGCUUUUUAGGGCUGCACUCAGAGCAUAUGGAAGUUUAUGGAUCCUUAACCAACUGAGUAAGGCCAGGGAUCAAACCCAAAACCUGAUGGUUCCUAGUCAGAUUCGUUAACCACUGUGCCACGAUGGGAACUCCUGCGUUUCUUUAAUAGUUAGCAAUGUUGAGCGUCUUUUCUUCUGUUUUUUGGCCUUCUGUUGGUCUCUGGAGAAAUAUCUAUUUAGAUCUUCUGCCCAUUUUUUGAUUGGGUUUUUUUUUUUGAUACUGAGCUGCGUGAGUUGUUUGUAUAUUUUGGAGAUUAAUCCCUUGUCGUCACUUCAUUUGCAAAUAUUUUCUCCCACUCUUGUGUGUUGGCUUUUCAUCUUAUUUAUGGUUUCCUUUGCUGUGCCAAAAGUUUUAAUUUUGAUGAAAUGAAAUUUGUCCUUUUUUGUUAUUGUUGCCUGUGCUUUUGGUGUCAUAUGGAAGAAAUCAUCACCAAGUCCAAACGCAUUAAUUUAUAUAUUUAAUGGAUUUUGCUCCAGAAGAGUUAUUCUUUUGAUGCUUAAAUUCUCUUAUUGUUGGCCUAUAAAUAGAGCUUGUUCUUUAGCUUAAGUCUGGGUCCUUUGAUAUGGGCUGAGUAGUAUUAGAUGGGUUCCCUGAUUUCUGGCCUGAUAAGAGUUCCUGGGGUUGGAGUUCCCUGUUGGCUCAUCAGGUUAAGAAUCUGGUAUUGUCACUGCUGGGGCUCUAGUGCAGGUUCAGCCCCUGGCCUGGGAACUUCCUCUGCAUACCACAGGAGCAGCCAAAAAAAAAAAAAAAAAAAAAA
ensembl:lncRNA